rnacentral:ncRNA from 1 species
GGCAGACGCGAAAAUGCCGGAUGCACAGUCCGGUUACGAGAAGGGCAGCACACUGGUGAUGGCCGGGCUUUCGGGUCUCAACAUGGUCUAUGAAGCUG